rnacentral:rRNA from 1 species
UACGAAGGGGGCUAGCGUUGUUCGGAUUUGCUGGGCGUAAAGCGCACGUAGGCGGAUCAUUAAGUCAGAGGUGAAAUCCCAAGGCUCAACCUUGGAACUGCCUUUGAUACUGGUGAUCUUGAGUCCGGAAGAGGUGAGUGGAACUGCGAGUGUAGAGGUGAAAUUCGUAGAUAUUCGCAAGAACACCAGUGGCGAAGGCGGCUCACUGGUCCGGAACUGACGCUGAGGUGCGAAAGCGUGGGGAGCAAACAGG